rnacentral:rRNA from 1 species
CGGCGAGUGAAGCGGCAACAGCUCAAAUUUGAAAUCUGGCCCCCCGCGGGCCCGAGUUGUACUUUGGAGAGGACGCUUCUGGCGCGGCGCCGUCCGAGUUCCCUGGAACGGGACGCCGGAGAGGGUGAGAGCCCCGUACGGGCGGCCGCCUAGCCUCUGCGAAGCUCCUUCGACGAGUCGAGUAGUUUGGGAAUGCUGCUCAAAAUGGGAGGUAAAUUUCUUCUAAAGCUAAAUACCGGCCAGAGACCGAUAGCGCACAAGUAGAGUGAUCGAAAGAUGAAAAGCACUUUGAAAAGAGGGUCAAACAGUACGUGAAAUUGUUGAAAGGGAAGCGCCUGUGGCCAGACUUGCGCCCCGCGGACCACCCGGCGCCUCGCGCGCCGGGGCACGCCAGCGGGGCGCAGGCCAGCAUCGGCUCUCUCGGGGGGACAAAGGCCGCGGGAACGUAGCGCCCUCGCGGCGUAUUAUAGCCCGCGGCGCCAUGCCCCCGGGGGGGCCGAGGACCGCGCUCCGGCAAGGAUGCUGGCGUAAUGGCCACCGGCGACCCGUCUUGAAACACGGACCAAGGAGUCAAGCAUUGGGGCGAGUGUCUGGGUGGCAAGCCCGCACGCGGAAUGAAAGUGAACGCAGGUGGGAGCUUCGGCGCACCACCGACCGAUCCUGAUGUCCUCGGAUGGAUUUGAGUAGGAGCCCCGCCGCUUGGACCCGAAAGAUGGUGAACUAUGCCUGUAUAGGGUGAAGCCAGAGGAAACUCUGGUGGAGGCCCGCAGC